ensembl:misc_RNA Metazoa_SRP Metazoan signal recognition particle RNA
GCCAGGCAUGGUGGCACAUGCCUGUAAUCCUAGUUACUUGGGAGGCUGAGGCAGGAGAAUCAUUUGAACCUGGGGAGGCAGAGGCUGCAGUGAGCUGAGAUUGCACCACUGCACUCCAGCCUGGGUGACAGAGUGAGACUCUGCCUCAA